ensembl:lncRNA
ACAGAGCAACAUGUCCUACUGCUGAUUGGCUGUGUGUCUACCAGAGCGCGAUGCGAUUGGACGGCUUGCCUGUCGCGUGACGGCUCCCAGCAUCAGGUUUCGUGGCGCAGAGGAUUGAGGCUCAUUCUAUCACACUCACUCACAGCAGCGAGAGCGCGGAGGAUGGAGGCGACUGAAGCGCUAGGAGCCUGUAAGCAGUUUAAGAGCCGAUUUCAUCUCGGUGGGGAAUGUCUGCCUAUCUCUGGCCUGUCACUUAGAUACCACCGGAACGAUGGUUAGAGAAGGGAGGAGAGACCAUGGUACAGGAACAAUAGGUCAUAUCUGAGGUACGACAUAGUGGGAUGGCUCUGAAAAAGCAGGACACUCUUACCUUCAGAAUGAGAGCCAAGCAUUUCCAGUUCAACUACAGCUGAAACAUCACGACACAAGUAAGUCCUUCAGGUUUCUUUCAUCAAGAUUCUAAGUAAAAACUUUUGAAGUACAUGAAAAUAGGAUUUGCUCAACUAUUCAUUAUUACUAGCUUACUAGCAGUCUAAAUAAGCAGCUUUUGUAAAUAGCAUGUAUCAGCGGUCUGACGGCCGGGUGGAGAGCCUUGUGCAGUUGAACAUUUUUAUGGC